CCUGAUCCAGCCAUGCCGCGUGAAGGAAUAAGGUCCUAUGGGUCGUAAACUUCUUUUGACGCAGAGCAAUAAGGGACGCGCGUGUUCCGAUGAGAGUAUGCGUCGAAUAAGCAUCGGCUAACUCCGUGCCAGCAGCCGCGGUAAUACGGAGGAUGCGAGCGUUAUCCGGAUUUAUUGGGUUUAAAGGGUGCGUAGGCUGUUGGAUAAGUCAGCGGUGAAAUCACCACGCUUAACGUGUUGUGUGCCGUUGAAACUGUCCAGCUUGAAUGCGCUCGUCGUGAGAGGAAUGUGUGGUGUAGCGGUGAAAUGCAUAGAUAUCACACAGAACACCGAUUGCGAAGGCAUCUCACGAGGGCGCUAUUGACGCUGAUGCACGAAAGCGCGGGUAUCGAACAGGAUUAGAUACCCUGGUAGUCCGCGCUGUAAACGAUGAUGACUAACCGUUGGUCUGGUAUGGAUCAGUGGUCAAGCGAAAGCGUUAAGUCAUCCACCUGGGGAGUACGGCCGCAAGGCUGAAACUCAAAGGAAUUGACGGGGGCCCGCACAAGCGGAGGAACAUGUGGUUUAAUUCGAUGAUACGCGAGGAACCU
rnacentral:rRNA from 1 species